rnacentral:rRNA from 1 species
UACGUAGGGUGCAAGCGUUGUCCGGAAUUAUUGGGCGUAAAGAGCUCGUAGGCGGUCUGUCGCGUCGAUCGUGAAAACUUGGGGCUUAACCCUGAGCUUGCGGUCGAUACGGGCAUGACUGGAGUUCGGCAGGGGAGACUGGAAUUCCUGGUGUAGCGGUGAAAUGCGCAGAUAUCAGGAGGAACACCGGUGGCGAAGGCGGGUCUCUGGGCCGAUACUGACGUGAGGAGCGAAAGCGUGGGGGAGCAAACAGG